rnacentral:rRNA from 1 species
UGAGGAAUAUUGCACAAUGGGCGCAAGCCUGAUGCAGCAACGCCGCGUGCGGGACGAAGGCCUUCGGGUCGUAAACCGCUUUUCUGGGGGAAGAGCAAGGACGGUACCUCAGGAAUAAGUCUCGGCUAACUACGUGCCAGCAGCCGCGGUAAAACGUAGGAGGCGAGCGUUAUCCGGAUUUACUGGGCGUAAAGCGCACGCAGGCGGCUCUGUUAGUCGGACGUGAAAGCUCUCGGCUUAACCGGGAGAGGCCGUUCGAUACUGCGGGGCUUGAGGUAGGGAGAGGAGUGCGGAAUUCCCGGUGUAGUGGUGGAAUGCGUAGAUAUCGGGAGGAACACCUGUGGCGAAAGCGGCAUUCUGGCCCUCACCUGACGCUGAGGUGCGAAAGCGUGGGUAGCAAACA